CCCUUAGACGUUCUGGGCCGCACGCGCGCUACACUGACGAAGGCAACGAGCUUUCCUUUACCGACAGGUACGGGUAAUCUUUUGAAACUUCGUCGUGCUGGGGAUAGAUCCUUGCAAUUUUUGAUCUUAAACGAGGAAUGCCUAGUAAGCGCAAGUCAUCAACUUGCGUUGAUUACGUCCCUGCCCUUUGUACACACCGCCCGUCGCUACUACCGAUUGAAUGGUUUAGUGAGGCCUUCGGAUCCGCGACUCGUUUGUGGAGAAGUUGGACAAACUCAGUCAUUUAGAGGAAGUAAAAGUCGUAACA
rnacentral:rRNA from 1 species